rnacentral:misc_RNA from 1 species
GAUGAAGAACGUAGCGAAAUGCGAUAAGUAGUGUGAAUUGCAGAAUUCAGUGAAUCAUCGAAUCUUUGAACGCACAUUGCGCCCUUUGGUAUUCCAAAGGGCAUGCCUGUUCGAGCGUCAUUUGUACCCUCAAGCUUUGCUUGGUGUUGGGCGUCUUGUCUCUAGCUUUGCUGGAGACUCGCCUUAAAGUAAUUGGCAGCCGGCCUACUGGUUUCGGAGCGCAGCACAAGUCGCACUCUCUAUCAGCAAAGGUCUAGCAUCCAUUAAGCCUUUUUUUCAACUUUUGACCUCGGAUCAGGUAGGGAUACCCGCUGAACUUAAGCAUAUCAAAAAGCGGAGGA